rnacentral:rRNA from 1 species
AGUGAACGCUGGCGGUAGGCCUAACACAUGCAAGUCGAACGGCAGCACAGUAGGAGCUUGCUCUUACGGGUGGCGAGUGGCGGACGGGUGAGGAAUACAUCGGAAUCUACUGUUUCGGGGGGGAUAACGUAGGGAGACUUACGCUAAUACCGCAUAUGACCUACGGGUGAAAGCAGGGGAGCUUCGGACCUUGGGCGAGUGAAUGAGCCGAUGUCGGAUUAGCUAGUUGGCGGGGUAAAGGCCCACCAAGGCGACGAUCCGUAGCUGGUCUGAGAGGAUGAUCAGCCACACUGGAACUGAGACACGGUCCCGACUCCUACGGGAGGCAGCAGUGGGGAAUAUUGGACAAUGGGCGAAAGCCUGAUCCAGCCAUACCGCGUGAGUGAAGAAGGCCUUCGGGUUGUAAAGCCCUUUUGUUGGGAAAGAAAAGCAGCAGGUUAAUACCCCGCUGUUCUGACGGUACCCAAAGAAUAAGCACCGGCUAACUUCGUG